rnacentral:rRNA from 1 species
AACGAACGCUGGCGGCAGGCCUAACACAUGCAAGUCGAACGCCCUAGCAAUAGGGAGUGGCAGACGGGUGAGUAACACGUGGGAACCUUCCCUAUAGUACGGAAUAUACCAGGGAAACUUGGAGCAAUACCGUAUACGCCCGAGAGGGGAAAGGAUUUAUCGCUAUAGGAUGGGCCCGCGUAGGAUUAGCUAGUUGGUGAGGUAAUGGCUCACCAAGGCGACGAUCCUUAGCUGGUUUGAGAGAACGACCAGCCACACUGGGACUGAGACACGGCCCAGACUCCUACGGGAGGCAGCAGUGGGGAAGUAUUGGACAAUGGGCGGCAAGCCUGAUCCAGCCAUGCCGCGUGAGGGAUGACGGCCU